rnacentral:rRNA from 1 species
ACUCAAAUGAAUUGACGGGGGCCCGCACAAGCGGUGGAUUAUGUGGUUUAAUUCGAUGAUACGCGAGGAACCUUACCAAGGCUUAAAUGGGAAUUGACCGGUUUAGAAAUAGACCUUCCUUCGGGCAAUUUUCAAGGUGCUGCAUGGUUGUCGUCAGCUCGUGCCGUGAGGUGUUAGGUUAAGUCCUGCAACGAGCGCAACCCCUGUUACUAGUUGCUACCAUUAAGUUGAGGACUCUAGUAAGACUGCCUACGCAAGUAGAGAGGAAGGUGGGGAUGACGUCAAAUCAUCACGGCCCUUACGCCUUGGGCCACACACGUAAUACAAUGGCCGGUACAGAGGGCAGCUACACAGCGAUGUGAUGCGAAUCUCGAAAGCCGGUCUCAGUUCGGAUUGGAGUCUGCAACUCGACUCUAUGAAGCUGGAAUCGCUAGUAAUCGCGCAUCAGCCAUGGCGCGGUGAAUACGUUCCCGGGCCUUGUACACACCGCCCGU